rnacentral:rRNA from 1 species
UUAAGUGACUAAGCGUACACGGUGGAUGCCUAGGCAGUCAGAGGCGAUGAAGGGCGUGUUAAUCUGCGAUAAGCGUCGGUAAGGUGAUAUAAACCGUUAUAACCGGCGAUACCCGAAUGGGGAAACCCAGUGCAAUUCGUUGCACUAUCAUACGAUGAAUACAUAGUCGUAUGAGGCGAACCGGGGGAACUGAAACAUCUAAGUACCCCGAGGAAAAGAAAUCAACCGAGAUUCCCCCAGUAGCGGCGAGCGAACGGGGAGGAGCCCAGAACCUGAAUCAGUUCUUGUGUUAGUGGAAGCGUCUGGAAAGUCGCACAGUAAAGGGUGAUAGUCCCGUACACUAAAAUGCAUUAAUUGUGAGUUCGAUGAGUAGGGCGGGACACGUGACAUCCUGUCUGAAUAUGGGGGGACCAUCCUCCAAGGCUAAAUACUCCUGACUGACCGAUAGUGAACCAGUACCGUGAGGGAAAGGCGAAAAGAACCCCGGCGAGGGGAGUGAAAUAGAACCUGAAACCGUGUACGUACAAGCAGUGGGAGCCUACUAGUUGGGUGACUGCGUACCUUUUGUAUAAUGGGUCAGCGACUUAUAUUUUGUAGCAAGGUUAACCGUAUAGGGGAGCCGUAGGGAAACCGAGUCUUAACUGGGCGAAUAGUUGCAAGGUAUAGACCCGAAACCCGGUGAUCUAGCCAUGGGCAGGUUGAAGGUUGGGUAACACUAACUGGAGGACCGAACCGACUAAUGUUGAAAAAUUAGCGGAUGACUUGUGGCUGGGGGUGAAAGGCCAAUCAAACCGGGAGAUAGCUGGUUCUCCCCGAAAGCUAUUUAGGUAGCGCCUCGUGAACUCAUCUUCGGGGGUAGAGCACUGUUUCGGCUAGGGGGCCAUCCCGGCUUACCAAACCGAUGCAAACUCCGAAUACCGAAGAAUGUUAUCACGGGAGACACACGGCGGGUGCUAACGUCCGUCGUGAAGAGGGAAACAACCCAGACCGCCAGCUAAGGUCCCAAAGUCAUGGUUAAGUGGGAAACGAUGUGGGAAGGCAUAGACAGCCAGGAUGUUGGCUUAGAAGCAGCCAUCAUUUAAAGAAAGCGUAAUAGCUCACUGGUCGAGUCGGCCUGCGCGGAAGAUGUAACGGGGCUAAACCAUGCACCGAAGCUGCGGCAGCGACGCUUAGGCGUUGUUGGGUAGGGGAGCGUUCUGUAAGCCGUUGAAGGUGGCCUGUGAGGGUUGCUGGAGGUAUCAGAAGUGCGAAUGCUGACAUAAGUAACGAUAAAGCGGGUGAAAAACCCGCUCGCCGGAAGACCAAGGGUUCCUGUCCAACGUUAAUCGGGGCAGGGUGAGUCGACCCCUAAGGCGAGGCCGAAAGGCGUAGUCGAUGGGAAACAGGUUAAUAUUCCUGUACUCGGUGUUACUGCGAAGGGGGGACGGAGAAGGCUAGGCUAGCCGGGCGACGGUUGUCCCGGUUUAAGCGUGUAGGGGGAGUGACCUGCUCUCGGAGCCGAAGCCAGUCGCAGAUACCAGCUGGCUGCAACUGUUUAAUAAAAACACAGCACUGUGCAAACACGAAAGUGGACGUAUACGGUGUGACGCCUGCCCGGUGCUGGAAGGUUAAUUGAUGGGGUCAGCCGCAAGGCGAAGCUCUUGAUCGAAGCCCCAGUAAACGGCGGCCGUAACUAUAACGGUCCUAAGGUAGCGAAAUUCCUUGUCGGGUAAGUUCCGACCUGCACGAAUGGCGUAAUGAUGGCCAGGCUGUCUCCACCCGAGACUCAGUGAAAUUGAACUCGCUGUGAAGAUGCAGUGUACCCGCGGCAAGACGGAAAGACCCCGUGAACCUUUACUAUAGCUUGACACUGAACAUUGAGCCUUGAUGUGUAGGAUAGGUGGGAGGCUUUGAAGCGUGGACGCCAGUCUGCGUGGAGCCAACCUUGAAAUACCACCCUUUAAUGUUUGAUGUUCUAACUCGGCCCCGUGAUCCGGGGUGAGGACAGUGUCUGGUGGGUAGUUUGACUGGGGCGGUCUCCUCCCAAAGAGUAACGGAGGAGCACGAAGGUUAGCUAAUCACGGUCGGACAUCGUGAGGUUAGUGCAAAGGCAUAAGCUAGCUUGACUGCGAGAGUGACGGCUCGAGCAGGUACGAAAGUAGGUCUUAGUGAUCCGGUGGUUCUGAAUGGAAGGGCCAUCGCUCAACGGAUAAAAGGUACUCCGGGGAUAACAGGCUGAUACCGCCCAAGAGUUCAUAUCGACGGCGGUGUUUGGCACCUCGAUGUCGGCUCAUCACAUCCUGGGGCUGAAGUAGGUCCCAAGGGUAUGGCUGUUCGCCAUUUAAAGUGGUACGCGAGCUGGGUUUAGAACGUCGUGAGACAGUUCGGUCCCUAUCUGCCGUGGGCGUUGGAAGAUUGAGAGGGGUUGCUCCUAGUACGAGAGGACCGGAGUGAACGCACCACUGGUGUUCGGGUUGUCAUGCCAAUGGCAUUGCCCGGUAGCUAAGUGCGGAAAAGAUAAGCGCUGAAAGCAUCUAAGCGCGAAACUUGCCUCGAGAUGAGUCUUCCCUGGGAACUUGAUUCCCCUGAAGGAACGUUUAAGACUAAGACGUUGAUAGGCUGGGUGUGUAAGUGCAGCGAUGCAUUGAGCUAACCAGUACUAAUGAUCCGUGAGACUUAACCUU